rnacentral:ncRNA from 2 species
GGAUAUACUUUGAUGAUGGGUGCCUGCCUCCACGGUCGUGGAGCGGGUGAAACGGGAAGCCGGUGACUCUUGGACGACAAGACAUUCCGGCGCAGCCCCCGCUGCUGUAAGCCUGACGACUCCGCCUCAAGCCACUGUGCAAUGCACGGGAAGGCGGCCGGAGAAGACUGAGGGCAAGCCAGAAGACCGGCCCAGAUGAAUUGUUGCGA